AGUAGCGGCGAGUGAAGCGGCAAAAGCUCAAAUUUGAAAUCUGGCACCUUCGGUGUCCGAGUUGUAAUUUGAAGAUUGUAACCUUGGGGUUGGCUCUUGUCUAUGUUUCUUGGAACAGGACGUCACAGAGGGUGAGAAUCCCGUGCGAUGAGAUGCCCAAUCCUAUGUAAGGUGCUUUCGAAGAGUCGAGUUGUUUGGGAAUGCAGCUCUAAGUGGGUGGUAAAUUCCAUCUAAAGCUAAAUAUUGGCGAGAGACCGAUAGCGAACAAGUACAGUGAUGGAAAGAUGAAAAGAACUUUGAAAAGAGAGUGAAAAAGUACGUGAAAUUGUUGAAAGGGAAGGGUUUGAGAUCAGACUCGAUAUUUUGUGAGCCUUGCCUUCGUGGCGGGGUGACCCGCAGCUUAUCGGGCCAGCAUCGGUUUGGGCGGUAGGAUAAUGGCGUAGGAAUGUGACUUUGCUUCGGUGAAGUGUUAUAGCCUGCGUUGAUGCUGCCUGCCUAGACCGAGGACUGCGAUUUUAUCAAGGAUGCUGGCAUAAUGAUCCCAAACCGCCCGUCUUGAAACACGGACCAAGGAGUCUAACGUCUAUGCGAGUGUUUGGGUGUUAAACCCGUACGCGUAAUGAAAGUGAACGUAGGUGAGGGCUCUUUUGAGUGCAUCAUCGACCGAUCCUGAUGUCUUCGGAUGGAUUUGAGUAAGAGCAUAGCUGUUGGGACCCGAAAGAUGGUGAACUAUACCUGAAUAGGGUGAAGCCAGAGGAAACUCUGGUGGAGGCUCGUAGCGGUUCUGACGUGCAAAUCGAUCGUCGAAUUUGGGUAUAGGGGCGAAAGA
rnacentral:rRNA from 1 species